rnacentral:rRNA from 1 species
CCUACGGGAGGCAGCAGUGGGGAAUAUUGGACAAUGGGCGAAAGCCUGAUCCAGCCAUGCCGCGUGUGUGAAGAAGGCCUUCGGGUUGUAAAGCACUUUCAGUGGGGAAGAAAGCCUUGGGGCUAAUACCCUCGAGGAAGGACAUCACCCACAGAAGAAGCACCGGCUAACUCCGUGCCAGCAGCCGCGGUAAUACGGAGGGUGCGAGCGUUAAUCGGAAUUACUGAGCGUAAAGCGCGCGUAGGCGGUCUGAUAAGCCGGUUGUGAAAGCCCCGGGCUCAACCUGGGAACGGCAUCCGGAACUGUCAGGCUAGAGUGCAGGAGAGGAAGGUAGAAUUCCCGGUGUAGCGGUGAAAUGCGUAGAGAUCGGGAGGAAUACCAGUGGCGAAGGCGGCCUUCUGGACUGACACUGACGCUGAGGUGCGAAAGCGUGGGUAGCAAACAGGAUUAGAUACCCUAGUAGUC